CAGCUGCAAGAGAAGGCACACUAUGGAAUGAGAAGCAAAGCACCCUGUGCCUCCAUGUAGAUUCUGUGGGGUGAAUGAAUCCGAAGGGUUUCCUGUGCAAGGCCCCUGUUCCCGAGGCAGUGGCAGCUCUGUAGUCUCCCGGGCUCACUCUGGAGCCUGACUUCACCUUCCUGAGAGGAGGCAGCUCCUUUCCAGUGAACUCUGCAGCCAGAAGAGAAAGGCGGAGCCUGCAGAAGCUGCUGCAGGACUAUUAGGAGGCAUUGGAGAGAGUCUCACAUUAGUAGCUGGGUUCUGGGGGAAGGGGGCUCAGCAGGCUGGAGGUGGAAGGAAAGGCUUCAUGCUGUGUCACUUUUGAGUCAUCCCCAGGUGCCAGCACACUCACCCCACCUAUCAGCAUGACCGUGCCAUGUGCACCCAUCUGCCCAUUCCUCUUCACGGUGGUGCAGCUGCAGAAAAGAAUACGCUGUGACACUUGAGGAGGAGAGGGAGCUUUGGAGAGCACAGCUACCCCUUGUUUUAUAGUUCCUACUGGGUAUUGAACCCAGGGCCUGACGCACACUGGGGAAACACUGCACCACUGGACUGCAUCCUCAGCUUCCAAAUUCAGUUCUGAGGGAGACAAUCCAUAGUUCCAGCCUCGGGUCUCCUGUGUGAGAACACUGAGAAGUGUCUGCUCAGACGAGAAAGCUCACACUAAAGACAGCAGACGUCCCCUGAAACUCAGCUCGGAGCCUCGUUUGAUCUCUUGUCUCUGCUCCCUUCUACUAUGGAGUUCUCGGCUUCAACCUAUUACCUUCUGACUGCACGAGAAAAACGAAAGAUAUGGAUAGAGGCAAGAAAGAUAAUUAAUGACGAACACAGGCUAAUUCAAAAGGGAUUCUGAAAGGAGCGUCCUGAUUUGCUGAGAGUCAUAAAUAAUGUAAAUAACUUCCCUGCGUUUUACACAAGUAGAAUCUUUUUUGGUGGUAAACACGGAGAUUGCAUAUGUAUACAUACAUACAUCUCCCAUCCAAAACUGUAUGCAAUUAGCAUUUGGAAGAUUAUAAUUAUAGCCUGGUUGGGCUUUUCUUUUUUGUAGGUGCUAAAAUUGAUUUCUUGGCUGAAUUAUUUUUGCAGUAGACUUAAACCCCUAAUUGUACACCUAAAUGAAAUUGAGUGUGAACAAAUCGAAUAACUUUUAUUUUGCCUUGGAUAAUAAUUUAUUGAUGCAGAUAAAGCUCCUUAAUUAAAUCGGGCACAGCCAGGCCUGUGGAGGCCCCACCUAAAGGCGUUUUGUCACAGUGCUGUAGUGAUUAUUUUAAUUUUAGAAUAAUACUCUGCUAUUCUUAGACUUGUGUAUCUCUUAAGGCCUGCAGAGGUAGUGAGUUGAGUUCGGUACUGCUUCAAAUCCCAGGUGGAUUUGGUAUGGAUCAUUUUGUAAGAAGUGCUUCUCGGUUAUACAUUACAAUUAAGUACAUCCAAAAUUACAAUUAAAUGCAUCCAAAAUGGAAA